ensembl:lncRNA
GUCACGUAGGCAGGAGAAAAUGGAGGACAAAAGAGGGUCCAACAACCACGGCGGCGUGGAGGCUGAUCUCUCAUGAUCUCUCACCACGACACGAGCUUUCUGCCUUCAGAUCCUUCUCUACGGGCCGUUUGCUGACGGACUUCCCUGGGCCUGCUACCUGAGACCUGCUGCUUCCUCCCUGACCUGCACUCUCUCGUUGCCCAAGACCGGCCUCGCUGCUCCUGCCCUUCGGCCUCGGACCGUCGGAACGUCGUGCAACGGGACUACUGCCGGAUCCUGGUGAGCAUGAAAUGGAGCACCAGAUUCCACUACUAUUACACAGCAGGAUAUGAAAGUCUUGAUUGAAGCCCUGUUCAUUGCCAUACAGUCACAGAUAGGGCCAGUGGGCAGUAGUGGGGCCAUUUCCACAGUAUGUAUGAAUUUACACGUUCUUUUUUCUUAAAAAAAAAUACACGUCCAUUCUUUUAUUUGAGUUUGUUUAACCUUUUGAUUCCACUCAGCAGCUUCAGGAUAAAUCAAUAGCUGAUAUACCAAACUGAGAGCAGAAAACUUCUACAUUUUGCCAUAUUUCACUUCAAAACAAUAACACUGCAGUCACUUAGAGUACAAUGAACUUAACUGCAGAUAGAAUGUGUUCCCAGAGUUGGCCCCAAUUUUAAUUUCUUAGGAAUAGUACACUGAAACUCUGUAUUUUUCUGGCUACAAUAACGAACACCUAAAAAUUAAUGUGUAUUGUGUCAUAAUUUUUUUACAAGUCUACUUGCUUAAAAUGGAAUACAGUUUUCAGAAUAGCAAAAACUCCAUUUACUUUUGUUUUUUUUUCUCUUAUUUAUUUCUUUUUACAUGUGUUAGAAAUAUUAUUAAGAAAACCUAGCUUUAGUACAAAGGUUAUAUUGUAAAAUAAAAGAAGUAUAGAACACUUCCUCAAUAUUAGUGCAUUAUGCUUUGUAGUUCAAUCUUAUUUAGUUUUCCAUACAUACUAAAGAAGCUUGAAUGAGAUGGUAAAUGUAGUGAAAUUAAGAACAGCACUGUUUGUUAUGUUCGUUCUUAGAAAUUGCUUGGGAGUGUUGAAUGCACCUAUUUUAACUGGAAAGUUACAUAGAUAUGGAUUAUAUAAAAGUUUACUGUGUACAAAUGUUGUCUGCCACUCUCUCUUUAUUUUGUAUGCAGCCAGACAAUUUCAUAUAGUCACAUUAAUCUGCACUUGGCAUAGGACUGUUUUUAUCAUUUUUCCCUAAAGAGUAUUCAACUUAAUAUUUGCUUUCCAGCUUUUGUGUCUAAAAUAACAUCACUCACCAUACCACUUCAUACACAGGAAGACAAGGCUCCUGCAAUAAACCACUUUAAGAAACCAUUACACAAGUAAUAAAAUGGGAAAAAUAAGGAAAAAAAAUCUUUUCAAAAACUGCGUGAGUCCACAUCAAUUCAGUAAAUGAGGAGCGCAAGAAGAAAUACUAUAGAUCCCUUAAGCUUUUACUGACUCUUAUCAAACAAUAAAUAAUUACAUUUGUAAAAUAAUAUAUUUCUGGAUUUAAUCAAGAGGUGGGGAGUUUAAAUGCUUUGACACACGUUUAAAUAAAUUAUGUCUUUCUGACAAUUGAAUUUCGCAGACAAAUUGUUGACUUUGAGGUUGGGCUGUCAUUAAACAAUUUGUUCAUUGUUUUUUUUAUAUAACGGCCUUUUGCAGAGCAGUGGGAGAUUUGUUUUUGAUUUUUAAGUAGAUUCAGAUCAUUUUCCUUCUUCAUUUUUUUUCAUAUUAUAAAGUAAAAUUUAAAUGGUUUAAGUAAAGGAGGGAGAAAAAUGGUUUCUGCUACUUUCUGUUUUCACCAUCUUAUACAUAUAUAUUAUAUAUUACUAUAUUAUAUAUUCUCUUUCAUCAAAAUAGAAAAAUAGAGAUUUUUUUUUUAAAGAAAGAAAGAACUAUAGUUUUCCUCCUCUAUUCUUUCAAUUUGUUUACAUAAAAAUGGAUAGUAUGGAAAAAUAGUGGUGGUAAAAAUGAAUAAAAUCAAAUUUAAGCCUCUAUGAUGUUUUCUGUGUUUUUAAAUUGUUAUAGAUGGCUGGGACUAGUUUCAGGUGAUCAUUUUGAAAUGGCUGCAGAUGCUUUUUAAAAAUGGAUCACACGAAAAAAGACAUCAGGAUGUUGCUCACAGUAUAUUUAAAUGUUUGUAUGGAUGCAAAAAAUUUCUGUUUACAUAGAAGUACAAGUUGUCUACAAUGACUUCCCACAGAGCUGACAGCUACUUUUAUAUAUAUUGGCUUGAAGUGGGAAUAAAAGUAGCAUCAGCCAGCUGAAAAAGUCUGCUGCAUAGACAGAGGAGUGAUGUCAUCUGUAGUGGUAUUUACAUUUAAAUAGUUGAAAAAAUGAGACUUUCAGAGCUAUAAACUUGCUCCCACCUGUAGUAGGAAUAUGCAGAGGUGACAGCGAGAUUGAUAUGGCAAAGAGAUUUUGCAACAGCAGUAUUUUGCCAGAUUCACAGCGGGUUUCCCUCAGGUCUCAUAACUGAAGCAAUGAGCAUGAAAUUCAGUAAUGCGUGUGUUCAGAUCAUGUUGCCACAUCGUUUCUGCACUCAUUGACAAAUAAUUGCAGUAUGAAUGGCAAGUUAAGACAGAAUGCUGUGUUACUGCUGAGUGGAGAUGUAGGGUUUCAGGGGGAUGUGGAACUGAGGAUACAGCUGUGGGUGAACAUGAGGUUGGAUGCUCACCAAACAGAUUCAAAAGAUGAAUAGAUACAGCAUGGAAAAUGAAUGACAAGGUCAUGUUUGAGAAGGCCUAAAGGGACUUCUGCAAUGUGGCUCUUUGCAUAUAGCCGUAACGUGACAGAAUUCUAUAUUGUUCAUGCUUGCAAUAUUUGCCUUUCUUUUCACAAAAUCCAUUGAAGGAAAAAAAGGCAACUAAAAAAGUUAGAAGAGGUGAAACUGCCUCUUAUACUUUCUUUUAUUUCAGGACUAUUGUGACAUAAUUAAACACCUGGAGACUGAAAUUUGGAGGAAGGAAGGUACAUUUAAGGUACAGCUGACAGGGGUGAUAAGGUCCCCUAAACACAAUCAUUACCUUGCUUAGGUAGGUCACUCAGUUAAUUUUUGAUUGUUGCUGGGAAAAUGCUGAUU